rnacentral:rRNA from 1 species
AGAGUUUGAUCAUGGCUCAGGAUGAACGCUGGCGGCGUGCCUAACACAUGCAAGUCGAACGAAGCACAUUUACCGGAUUCUUCGGAAGAAGGUAAUUGUGACUGAGUGGCGGACGGGUGAGUAACGCGUGGGGAACCUGCCUCAUACAGGGGGAUAACAGUUAGAAAUGACUGCUAAUACCGCAUAAGACCACAGCACCGCAUGGUGGAGUGGUAAAAACUCCGGUGGUAUGAGAUGGCCCCGCGUCUGAUUAGCUGGUUGGUGAGGUAAGGGCUCACCAAGGCGACGAUCAGUAGCCGACCUGAGAGGGUGACCGGCCACAUUGGGACUGAGACACGGCCCAAACUCCUACGGGAGGCAGCAGUGGGGAAUAUUGCACAAUGGGGGAAACCCUGAUGCAGCGACGCCGCGUGAAGGAAGAAGUAUUUCGGUAUGUAAACUUCUAUCAGCAGGGAAGAAAAUGACGGUACCUGACUAAGAAGCCCCGGCUAACUACGUGCCAGCAGCCGCGGUAAUACGUAGGGGGCAAGCGUUAUCCGGAUUUACUGGGUGUAAAGGGAGCGUAGACGGUAUGGCAAGUCUGAUGUGAAAACCCGAGGCUCAACCGCGGGAUUGCAUUGGAAACUGCCAGACUAGAGUGUCGGAGAGGCAAGUGGAAUUCCUAGUGUAGCGGUGAAAUGCGUAGAUAUUAGGAGGAACACCAGUGGCGAAGGCGGCUUGCUGGACGAUGACUGACGUUGAGGCUCGAAAGCGUGGGGAGCAAACAGGAUUAGAUACCCUGGUAGUCCACGCCGUAAACG